AAUGAACGCUGGCGGCAGGCCUAACACAUGCAAGUCGAACGAACAGACGGCUAGGGUCCUCGAUUCUAGUUGGCGACGGGCGGGUGAGUAAGGGGUAGAUAACCUUCCGUUCAGACUAGGAUAACGACGGUUUGCCGGAUACCGUACAAGCUCAUAGGGGGAACGGCUUAUCGCAAUAGGAUUAGACCGCUUCUGCGUAGGUAGUAGGUGAGGUCGUGGCUCAUCAAGGCGACGGUGAGGAGCCGGCCUGAGAGGGUGACCAGGCACACCGGAACUGAGAGACGGUACAGACUCCUACGGGAGGCAGCAGUAGGGAAUCUUACGCAAUGGGGGAAAGCCUGAUGGAGCAAAACCGCGUGAGUGAUGAAGGACUUCGGCUGGUAAAGCGCUGUUGUUAGGCAAGAAAAAAAGCGUGUGCAACGGGGACCGUGUUGACGGUACCCAAAUAAAAAGCCACGGCUAACUUCGUG
rnacentral:rRNA from 1 species